rnacentral:lncRNA from 10 species
GGGGCGGCGGCGGAGUCCGGCGGCCGGGAGAGCGAGUGAGCGAGCGGAGGAGCAGCGACACGGGAGUCUAGGGAGCGAGAAGGAGAAGGAGGGGAGCGCUCGGGCGCGAGCGAGAGAAACCGCGAGCGCCGAGCUUGGACUCGAGCCCCGGAACGGCUGAGGAGCCCGCCCGCUCCCCUCCCCUCCCCCUCCCCGGGCCCGGGCCCAGCGCGCCAUCCUCCCCCCUCCUUCCCUCCCUCCCUCCUUCCUCCCUCCCCUCUCCCUCCCCCUCCCCCGCCGGUGGAUGGGAGUGAAGGACGGAAGAGGCCCUGCGGAGGCGGCGGUGCAGCGCUCCGGUGGAAUGAAUCUUACUUGUUGAAUAUCUUCUGGUUACUAGUUGGAUUCAUUUGUGAAAGAAUCAUUUUCCCCUGUGUGGAAGACACUUAGUGGCAUAUUUAAAUUAUAAGUCCACGGAUCAAAAAGCUUUUUGAUUUCCCAAAGGAGGGACAUACCACUAUAUCAGAUAAGCUUGACAUUACAGCCAAGAUGGUGCUGUCCCAGAGACAACGAGAUGAACUUUUUAGAAUUGUUUCCCUCAUACUUCCACGAAGACCAGACAUCCGGGAAAGGAUUGAGAAUUCGCAUGCAGCUCUGCUCCUGCCUGUCCUGCCCACGACAUGAUCAUCAAAUGUGUUAAUAGGUUACUUAGAAUUUGUUUUGUUGUUGUUUUCCCUCUUUGCAUGAUGGUAUUACUCAUUUGAAAUAUAGUUGGGUUCAUCUUGCUUGUUUUCAUCCUCCCCCUCACUCCCCGCUGUCCUAUCUUUAAUUUUUUUAAUAUAUAAACCAUUAUCUAUAGAAAAACAUGUACCCAGAAGUGUUACUCUCUUCUGAAUCCCUUCCACCAUGUUACCCCCAACUCCUUUCAUCCCUUGAGGGAACCAAGCUUAUUGUUUUUAAAAAUAUGAGAUAGAUAUAUAUCUUCUUAUUUCUCCCUCUUUCUUAAAUAAAAGUAGCAUACUG